AUAUAAAUAAGCGGAGGAAAAGAAACUAACAAGGAUUCCCCUAGUAACGGCGAGUGAAGCGGGAAGAGCUCAAAUUUAAAAUCUCUGACCUCGGGUCAGCGAAUUGUAGUUUAGAGAGACGUUCUCGGUGUCGGCCCCGGCCUAAGUUCCUUGGAACAGGAUGUCAUAGAGGGUGAGAACCCCGUCUGUGGCUGGGUGUCCGUAUGCCAUACGUGGCGUUCUCAACGAGUCGAGUUGUUUGGGAUUGCAGCUCUAAGUGGGUGGUAAAUUUCAUCUAAAGCUAAAUACUGGCGAGAGACCGAUAGCGCACAAGUA
rnacentral:rRNA from 1 species